UUUUGUUUGAGUUUAACUGCUCCAUUUUCUCUCCCAUCAACUCCGUUUUCCGUCUCUCUCUCAUUAACUCCUCCAUUUUCAUACAGUUUGCUUCUCUGUCAAGAACACAUAUUUUCUCACACAAUCUUCUCUAGAAAGCAGUACUUUGAUUUUGCCAUGUGAUGUAUUGAAACUUUCUUUCAAUGAACACAAUUACAAGAAGAUGGGUAAUUUCCACCGACUGCAAAUUUCCGCGAUAAUUAAUGAAGUCAGUUACUGAAUACUCAGAGGCGACAAACAUAUUGCCUGUUCAUUGAUGAAAAUUAGACAAGAUUUGAGAAAUAAAGAAUAUUUGGCGUUGAAAAUUAGUGCAAUUGGGCUUAUUGGUUCCUAUCUAUAUAUAAUUGUGGCGAUGCACGGAACAUAUAAUGGUUGAAGAUUUCAUAACUUAUGUAAUUAUUGUUUGAUGCUUUCUCACAUGCUCGACAAAACUCUUUUACUUUGUGAACUUAAAAAGCCAGAGAAGAAUUGUGACGUAGGUUAAUUAUUUCCUUAGAUUCUCAAAGGACUAAAGUCAUGUAGUUGAUGUAUACUCUUAUCCUUCUUUAUUUAUUGUUUCCUCUUUUAUUAUAUGGUAUAUGUGGAUUAUUAAAUUAAAAUGUUUUUUUAUCAUACAUGAAUGUUAGCGCAUAGAGGUGCAUUGCAACGUCAAUUAAUUUGAGAUAGCUAGGCGCUCUACAUACAACAUUACAAGUCAAAUCAUACUUGAGUAUCAUCGGUCAUCCUAAGUGCAGAAAAAUUAUUGUCGUUGUUGGUAUUUUAAUUUUAAAUUUAAAUUCUUUGUAACUUGUUUGGUAUUGUAAUAUUUUACAAUUAUUAUAGAUUAUGAAUGUUCCAAUUAUUUCCUUA